rnacentral:rRNA from 1 species
GAUGAACGCUGGCGGCGUGCCUAAUACAUGCAAGUCGAGCGAACGGACGAGAAGCUUGCUUUUCUGAUGUUAGCGGCGGACGGGUGAGUAACACGUGGAUAACCUACCUAUAAGACUGGGAUAACUUCGGGAAACCGGAGCUAAUACCGGACAAUAUUUUGAACCGCAUGGUUCAAAAGUGAAAGACGGUCUUGCUGUCACUUAUAGAUGGAUCCGCGCUGCAUUAGCUAGUUGGUAAGGUAACGGCUUACCAAGGCAACGAUGCAUAGCCGACCUGAGAGGGUGAUCGGCCACACUGGAACUGAGACACGGUCCAGACUCCUACGGGAGGCAGCAGUAGGGAAUCUUCCGCAAUGGGCGAAAGCCUGACGGAGCAACGCCGCGUGAGUGAUGAAGGUCUUCGGAUCGUAAAACUCUGUUAUUAGGGAAGAACAUAUGUGUAAGUAACUGUGCACAUCUUGACGGUACCUAAUCAGAAAGCCACGGCUAACUACGUG